rnacentral:rRNA from 1 species
CCUACGGGCGGCUGCAGUGGGGAAUAUUGGACAAUGGGCGAAAGCCUGAUCCAGCCAUGCCGCGUGUGUGAAGAAGGCCUUCGGGUUGUAAAGCACUUUCAGUGGGGAAGAAAGCCUUGGGGCUAAUACCCUCGAGGAAGGACAUCACCCACAGAAGAAGCACCGGCUAACUCCGUGCCAGCAGCCGCGGUAAUACGGAGGGUGCGAGCGUUAAUCGGAAUUACUGGGCGUAAAGCGCGCGUAGGCGGUCUGAUAAGCCGGUUGUGAAAGCCCCGGGCUCAACCUGGGAACGGCAUCCGGAACUGUCAGGCUAAAGUGCAGGAGAGGGAGGUAGAAUUCCCGGUGUAGCGGUGAAAUGCGUAGGGAUCGGGAGGAAAACCAGGGGCGAAGGCGGCCUUUUGGACUGACACUGACGCUGAGGUGCGAAAGCGUGGGUAGCAAACAGGGUUAGAAACCCGAGUAGUC